UACAGAGGUGGCAAGCGUUGUUCGGAAUUACUGGGCGUAAAGGGCGCGUAGGCGGCCUUCUAAGUCAGACGUGAAAUCCCCAGGCUUAACUUGGGAACUGCGUCUGAUACUGGGAGGCUUGAGUGCGGGAGAGGGAUGUGAAAUUCCAGGUGUAGCGGUGAAAUGCGUAGAUAUCAGGAGGAACACCGAUGGCGAAGGCAGGUCUCUGGGCCAUUACUGACACUGAGAAGCGAAAGCAUGGGGAGCGAACAGG
rnacentral:rRNA from 1 species